rnacentral:sRNA from 1 species
ACCAGUUACAAACUUCCCGAUAGGGUUUACCUUGAUUGUGGUAAAUGUGCCUUGUAACCAAUAUAAAAAAUGGGGGAAUAUAAUAUA